GGGAGGAGAGGCUAAUGGUUAAUACCCAUUAGAUUAGACGUUACCUGCAGAAUAAGCACCGGCUAACUCUGUGCCAGCAGCCGCGGUAAUACAGAGGGUGCGAGCGUUAAUCGGAUUUACUGGGCGUAAAGCGUGCGUAGGCGGCUUUUUAAGUCGGAUGUGAAAUCCCUGAGCUUAACUUAGGAAUUGCAUUCGAUACUGGGAAGCUAGAGUAUGGGAGAGGAUGGUAGAAUUCCAGGUGUAGCGGUGAAAUGCGUAGAGAUCUGGAGGAAUACCGAUGGCGAAGGCAGCCAUCUGGCCUAAUACUGACACUGAGGUACGAAAGCAUGGGGAGCAAACAGGAUUAGAUACCCUGGUAGUCCACGCCGUAAACGAUGUCAACUAGCCGUUGG
rnacentral:rRNA from 13 species